GUAUUUGUCAGGAAUCAACACUUCAUUUAAUAGGCCAGGAAAAGUGACAGCUUGGAGAACCGUUGAGAAGGACCUGCACCUGCCAUGGGCUGCAGCCCCACUAAGAUCAGAAGUCGGGCGGAGGGUUUAGGAAAGGCUGAGCCUUAGCACAAAAGACCACCUCUGUAGCUGCUUAAAGCUGCUUUGGAGAGAGCAUUUUCCCUAAAGCCCACCCACAGCCCAAACCUCCCUGCCUAGCACCCACAUGGUCCCCGGCGUCCCUGUUGGUGUGACUAAACACUUCUCAAAGCCCCAGGGAUGGCGUCUGCCGUCCUACAGAACAUGAUCACAGGGCAGGAGGCUCUGCCCCUGGAAGCAGGUGUGUGUGGUGACGUCUGGGGUGGACACCGGAGGCUCCUUGCUGGCUGCCCCCGGGGAAGCUGCUAGGCUGCAGGCCUAGGCCUGUGUCUGUCUUCUGUCUUUACAAACUUGUUUGUGGCAGCUUUCUCACACCUAGAAGCUCAGAACUCGGGGUGCUGACAGAGAAGGACUGCCAUGAGUGUGGCUAACCUGGGCUACAGGAGGAUCUACCUUAAGCAAAUGAACAAAAUUAACAA
rnacentral:lncRNA from 1 species